rnacentral:rRNA from 1 species
AGACCCGAAACCCGGUGAUCUAGCCAUGGGCAGGUUGAAGGUUGGGUAACACUAACUGGAGGACCGAACCGACUAAUGUUGAAAAAUUAGCGGAUGACUUGUGGCUGGGGGUGAAAGGCCAAUCAAACCGGGAGAUAGCUGGUUCUCCCCGAAAGCUAUUUAGGUAGCGCCUCGUGAAUUCAUCUCCGGGGGUAGAGCACUGUUUCGGCAAGGGGGUCAUCCCGACUUACCAACCCGAUGCAAACUGCGAAUACCGGAGAAUGUUAUCACGGGAGACACACGGCGGGUGCUAACGUCCGUCGUGAAGAGGGAAACAACCCAGACCGCCAGCUAAGGUCCCAAAGUCAUGGUUAAGUGGGAAACGAUGUGGGAAGGCCCAGACAGCCAGGAUGUUGGCUUAGAAGCAGCCAUCAUUUAAAGAAAGCGUAAUAGCUCACUGGUCGAGUCGGCCUGCGCGGAAGAUGUAACGGGGCUAAACCAUGCACCGAAGCUGCGGCAGCGACACUGUGUGUUGUUGGGUAGGGGAGCGUUCUGUAAGCCUGUGAAGGUGUACUGUAAGGUAUGCUGGAGGUAUCAGAAGUGCGAAUGCUGACAUAAGUAACGAUAAAGCGGGUGAAAAGCCCGCUCGCCGGAAGACCAAGGGUUCCUGUCCAACGUUAAUCGGGGCAGGGUGAGUCGACCCCUAAGGCGAGGCCGAAAGGCGUAGUCGAUGGGAAACAGGUUAAUAUUCCUGUACUUGGUGUUACUGCGAAGGGGGGACGGAGAAGGCUAUGUUGGCCGGGCGACGGUUGUCCCGGUUUAAGCGUGUAGGCUGGUUUUCCAGGCAAAUCCGGAAAAUCAAGGCUGAGGCGUGAUGACGAGGCACUACGGUGCUGAAGCAACAAAUGCCCUGCUUCCAGGAAAAGCCUCUAAGCAUCAGGUAACAUCAAAUCGUACCCCAAACCGACACAGGUGGU